rnacentral:lncRNA from 1 species
GCUACUCACCCCAAAACACUGAAGAUAGGGCAGCAGACAUUUUAAAGUUGUUUUGUGACUGUUUUUCAUGUUAAUUUAGGGCACAAUUAUGGUUGCAAAGGUAGUUAAGUGUUCGCAAAAAGUGUUUUGGGGUGGGAUUUGCUGGUAGGUAGCCAGUACCAAUCUGUGAGGGGUAGAAUGAGGGGGCGGGAAGGUUAGUUUGAAGAGGGCAGGCUUUCCACGAUGACAGCACUUUCCCUAUCAUAAUUUCACCCUACCAAAAACCCUUCAAAAUCCAGUGGACAUACAUAAGAAUUGCCGUAGAAGUCAGUUGGAACAAAACAGCGCGCAUUGACGCAACGAAAAUCCAAAGUCGGAAGAAAAUAAGAGCGCGAAGAAACGUUGUUUUCUGGCUCAUUUUGGAGAUGCAGAUGUCCCUGGUGGGGACGGGGAGGAAGAUGAGGAGGAGGAAGAUGAGAAGGCAACAUCCAGGCGAGCAGGGUCAUAGACCAAACAGUCAUUCCUUAUAUUCUGUCUAGCUGUUUUGUUUG